UCCAAAGAGAGGUUUCUCUGCGUGCUUGAGGUAUAAUGCAAGUACGGUCGUUUUAGGUUUUACCAACUGCGGCUAAUCUUUUUUAUACUGAGCGUAUUGGAACGUUAUCGAUAAGAAGAGAGCGUCUAGGCGAACAAUGUUCUUAAAGUUUGACCUCAAAUCAGGUAGGAGUACCCGCUGAACUUAAGCAUAUCAAUAAGCGGAGGAAAAGAAACCAACCGGGAUUGCCUUAGUAACGGCGAGUGAAGCGGCAAAAGCUCAAAUUUGAAAUCUGGUACCUUCGGUGCCCGAGUUGUAAUUUGGAGAGGGCAACUUUGGGGCCGUUCCUUGUCUAUGUUCCUUGGAACAGGACGUCAUAGAGGGUGAGAAUCCCGUGUGGCGAGGAGUGCGGUUCUUUGUAAAGUGCCUUCGAAGAGUCGAGUUGUUUGGGAAUGCAGCUCUAAGUGGGUGGUAAAUUCCAUCUAAAGCUAAAUAUUGGCGAGAGACCGAUAGCGAACAAGUACAGUGAUGGAAAGAUGAAAAGAACUUUGAAAAGAGAGUGAAAAAGUACGUGAAAUUGUUGAAAGGGAAGGGCAUUUGAUCAGACAUGGUGUUUUGUGCCCUCUGCUCCUUGUGGGUAGGGGAAUCUCGCAUUUCACUGGGCCAGCAUCAGUUUUGGUGGCAGGAUAAAUCCAUAGGAAUGUAGCUUGCCUCGGUAAGUAUUAUAGCCUGUGGGAAUACUGCCAGCUGGGACUGAGGACUGCGACGUAAGUCAA
rnacentral:rRNA from 1 species